GGCAAUGUAGUGAAAAGGUUAUCACGACUGACUCAUAUUCAGUAAUUUCAAGUUCGAUUCUUGACAUUGCUACCA
rnacentral:tRNA from 1 species